ensembl:lncRNA
CCCAUUUGAUCUUGCUCUGUCUCCUUCAUCCUUCAUGUUUUUGGAUUCUCAGUGAGAAUCACUGAAGAGGAGUGUUGCACUGAGCAGUUGUCUGUCCAAGACAGGGCCUGAUCCACACUACCACACUGGACAGCAACUUAUGUGGAUAUUAAUUGAUGGUAUUGCAUAUGGCAAGUGUACUAAAAUCUGCCUGCUAUAGCAAGAAUAAUCGUCUUCUGGGCAAACAAGAAGCUGUCUAUGGUGGAGUAGGUUGCAAGACUCUCCUUUGUAUGUAUUGAUUGAGGAAGUCCAUUUUUUGCUCCCCGUAUCCUUCAGUUCCCUCAUUCUGAUUGGAUAGAUAUGGGGGCAUAGAAAUGUGGGGAAAGCAAGGAGGAGAAAAAUGGACAGUGAACCUUCCUCACUCGCUGCAGCCAGGGACAUCACUGCAGCAGAGCUUUCCGUGAGUGUGACCUGAAACCAUGGGAUCAUCUUCUGCAAGUAGGUGUUUAAAUAGCAGCAACUUUCAGACAAAAAUGCAAACCAUUAAGAUUAAAAAAACAGCAACAACAAACAGCUUUUUCAGGAGCAAGCUCAAUUUAAUUAUAUGAAGGAUUCUAAGGUCUAUAAAAUCAGAUGGGCUGGCUGUGAGCAUAAUAGGAAUAUUUGAGUAUGUUUGGAUUAGGUAAGCUUUUGUCAUAUAUAUUCUAGGAUUAAUCUAAUCUAAAAGCCUGUUUUUUCAGCAGAGAUUCAUCAUUACUAGCAAAGCAGAUUUCAGAUUAGAAGGCAUCAGUGUUGCAUUCUUCUGCUGCUGUCCUUUGGAAAAUGUGACUUUGCCUUCAUUGCCUGUCCUUAAUUUUAUUGGGGAAACUUGCUGUGGGCACUAGUAGACUCUAAAGUGAAUAAUCUGAAACCACAUAGCCCCUUGUGGACACCAACAGAGAGCCCAUGGGAAUCUGAGCGUGUAAUAACCAUGAUUUAUUUUACUGAUGAUCAGAGACAGAUGAAGCUGCCAGUAUGUCAGUGACUGGGCAGACCUCUGGUGGGAAUAUAGAAACCUGACUGAGGAAGACCCUUGGCACAGUCCCUGACCAGCUCUUUAAAAGAAGGGGCUACCCUGACCUGUCUAUGACUUAUCUUAAGACAUGAAGCGUGAAGGCAUGUAAACUAGUAUGAAGACGAGGAACAACGUAGGUGCCAGGGUAGUCCUCCUGCUUGUCUCUGCUUCCCUACAGUCUACCUCAUGAAAAUCUCUUAAUCUUUCACAGACCCGCCUUGCGAACAACUGUUGUAAUUGGAUGAGCUACACAUCAGGUGCUGCAAUGGAAAAGUGUUGUGAGCAAGAGAGCCAGUAAAUUGCUGUGUUUUUACCCUUGAGACUUCAGUGACCUCUGCCAUCGAUUGACUUCCUCGACUGUUCAUCAUGUUGGAGUUGUUAGGCAUCCUUAGGGCAGUUGUGAAGUACAGCAUCAGGGGAAUCAGCUGAUGGCAUGCCCUCUGCCUGGAGAGCCCCAGCCUUGCCCAAGCCUGCAGCUUGGGGCUUGUUCUGCAGGAGCAGCACAGACUUCUGGAGGAUUCCUUUGUACAAGCAUGAGCUUGCCAAGCUGGGCAGGAACAAGUAUGCCUAUGAGUGCAUUUCUGUCCAGAAGAUGAGUUGGCUGCACAUGAACCUUGAUCAUUUCAAGUCUAAGACUGACGAGUAAGGAAAAUAAAGGUCUCAGCACUUAGCCCAUGAUGACCGUUUUGCAGAAAUAGAACGCCAAGCAAGAAGAACGAAGCCUGCAGGAGUACAAGGAGGAAAUGAAAGUUGCCGUACCGACAGGGCUACACAAAUCCCGCGAUGGGUGGAUUAGGCUGAGCGUUAUCAGUGAUGAUGAAACACAGCAGACUGUGGUAAUGAAAUAUUUAUGAAUGGGGAAAUGAUACUGCAUUCUGCAGUGCAGCACAGGGGAAAGUGAAAUUUCAAGAAUACUGUAAUAGCAAAGCCCUCCAUUAAUUAUCGAAAGCGAGCUGUAAUGCCAGUUACUAUGACAACAGGGUCCCCUAUGCAUUUUGCACCAUUUUGAGG